CCUGAGUUUACAACUCUCCAAACCCCUGUGAACAUACCACUUGUUGCCUCGGCGGAUCAGCCGUCUCCGGUAACUGGACGCCCCAGGAUGGACUCCCUAAACUCUGUUCUAUAUUGGAACUUCUGAGUAACCAUAAAUAAGAAUCAGU
rnacentral:misc_RNA from 1 species